GCCAGGCUUGGUGGUGCACGCCUGUAAUCCCAGCAGUUUGGGAGUCCGAGGCAGGAGGAUUGCAAGUUCCAAGCCAGCCUCAGCAAUGGUGAGGUGCCAAGUAACUCAGUGAGACCCUGUCUCUA
rnacentral:sRNA from 1 species